AUUAAUUGAAGAAUUUUUUUUCUGUGAUUCCUUCUUAUUUAUGAUUUACACCAUAUCCUUUUUAUAUUCCCACACAGCUGCUGUUUUGGAUUAUGCAGUAAUUGUUCAAUUAUUCAUUUUCUU